AACGAACGCUGGCGGCAUGCCUAACACAUGCAAGUCGAACGGGAUCCAUCUUUCGGGAUGGUGAGAGUGGCGGACGGGUGAGUAACGCGUGGGAACCUGCCCAGUGGUGGGGGAUAACUGCGGGAAACUGCAGCUAAUACCGCAUGAGCCCGAGAGGGGAAAGAUUUAUCGCCAUGGGAGGGGCCCGCGUUCGAUUAGGUAGUUGGUGGGGUAAUGGCCUACCAAGCCGACGAUCGAUAGCUGGUCUGAGAGGAUGAUCAGCCACACUGGGACUGAGAUACGGCCCAGACUCCUACGGGAGGCAGCAGUGGGGAAUAUUGGACAAUGGGGGCAACCCUGAUCCAGCAAUGCCGCGUGAGCGAUGAAGGCCUUCGGGUUGUAAAGCUCUUUUGCCAGGGACGAUGAUGACGGUACCUGGAGAAUAAGCCCCGGCUAACUUCGUGCCAGCCGCCGCGGUAAAAC
rnacentral:rRNA from 1 species